GUUGCCGUGGUGUAGUGGUUAGCACGUUCGAUUUGUACUUUUUAGACGAUCCAGGUUCGAUGCCUGGCGUUCAGA